CGAGGUAGCUCAGUUGGUUAGAGCAACAGACUCAUAAUCUGGAGGUCCCUGGUUCAAGCCCAGGCUGGUCCA
rnacentral:tRNA from 4 species